GACGAACGCUGGCGGCGUGCUUAACACAUGCAAGUCGAGCGGUAAGGCUCCUUCGGGAGUACACGAGCGGCGAACGGGUGAGUAACACGUGAGCAAUCUGCCCUUCUCUUUGGAAUAACCAUUGGAAACGAUGGCUAAUGCCGAAUACGACUUCCUUUCGCAUGUUAGGAAGUGGAAAGCUCCGGCGGAGAAGGAUGAGCUCGCGGCCUAUCAGCUUGUUGGUGAGGUAAUGGCUCACCAAGGCGACGACGGGUAGCCGGCCUGAGAGGGUGACCGGCCACACUGGGACUGAGACACGGCCCAGACUCCUACGGGAGGCAGCAGUGGGGAAUAUUGGACAAUGGGCGAAAGCCUGAUCCAGCAACGCCGCGUGAGGGAUGACGGCCUUCGGGUUGUAAACCUCUUUCAGCAGGGACGAAGCGAAAGUGACGGUACCUGCAGAAGAAGGACCGGCCAACUACGUGCCAGCAGCCGCCGUAA
rnacentral:rRNA from 1 species